CAGCAGUAGGGAAUAUUGCGCAAUGGGGGAAACCCUGACGCAGCAACGCCGCGUGAGUGAGGAAGGUCUUCGGAUUGUAAAACUCUUUUAUUAGGGAAAAAUGUCUAGGUGGCUAAUAUCCACUUAGAGUGAUGGUACCUAAGGAAUAAGCACCGGCUAACUUCGUG
rnacentral:rRNA from 1 species